UCUAAGUGCUAAGUUUGCUCUGAAAAAGUUCUUUUUCUUGCUCCUCGCUUAGGACUCCUUAUAUACUAGCUCCAAGGUCGGUUUACGCUUUUACUCUUCUGCCCUUAAGCCGUCAUAGCAUAAAAAUGGAGAUAUUCCAUUUUUCCCGAUCUUCACAAUUAUCUUCAAAACUUCCGUAUUUAUCCGCGGAAACUUGACAUUUAUCCUUCCUCGUGGGCCAAGCGUGAACCAUGCUGUGGUUCACGGGCUUUUGGUUAG